AACCCAAGUAUCCACUGAUGGAUGAAUGGAUAAAGAAGAUGUGAGGCUGUGGUUAAUCAGUAUCUGAACCUGGAUCUCAGGGAUCUUCUUCUGCUCAGCCUGGGACCAGACCAAGAGGAUACACGGCACAGUGCUUUUGACCAUCUUGACCAGAACCACAAAGAAUUGGAAAUUUCUCAGGAAUGGAUGUUCUCUACUGAUUUCCAAACCUUAGAGAGAGUGGGGGAGAGACAGAGAGAGGAGACACAGAAUCUGAAGCAGGCUCCAGG